CCCGCCGGUUUGGUGCGCGGCACGGAGCUCGGGCCACGCCGCGGGGGUGGGGCGCCCACGGCCCCGUCUUUGCCGGCUGGGAAAGGAAGUGCCGGAAACUUGGAGCCCCGGCCAGAGUACAACGUGUCCACCUCGGAAGAGAUCAAGGUUGUAAGCUUUGCUAAAGUGAGAUCAUCUCCAACCAACUAUGAGAAGGAAUCUCUCCCCAGAUUUCAGUUACAUUAGUUUCCAAGCCUGGCCAGCUAAGAAUUGGACUGGCCUCUCUUCUGUGAGUGGUGCUCUUCCCUUCCCAGAGUGCUUGGAGUGGACAACCAAGGGGACUGAUUGGACAUGGCAUUUGGUACACAACUGACACAAGGAAUAUCCUAGAUACACCCCUCCUGCUCUGGUGGACUCAGCAUGGAAGGAAGGUCAGCAACAGCUCAGGUCGGUGAGGUCACCUGCAGGGA